rnacentral:rRNA from 1 species
UACGUAGGGUGCGAGCGUUAAUCGGAAUUACUGGGCGUAAAGCGUGCGCAGGCGGUUAUGUAAGGCAGAUGUGAAAUCCCCGGGCUCAACCUGGGAACUGCAUUUGUGACUGCAUAGCUAGAGUACGGUAGAGGGGGAUGGAAUUCCGCGUGUAGCAGUGAAAUGCGUAGAUAUGCGGAGGAACACCGAUGGCGAAGGCAAUCCCCUGGGCCUGCACUGACGCUCAUGCACGAAAGCGUGGGGAGCAAACAGG